AGAACAGGACAUUAGGGUAGCUAGCUUGGCACAAGCAAGAGACUUAAAAUCUCACCUCGAAGGUUCAAAUCCUUCCCCUAACC
rnacentral:tRNA from 1 species